AACGCGAAGAACCUUACCAGCUCUUGACAUUCGGGGUAUGGGCAUUGGAGACGAUGUCCUUCAGUUAGGCUGGCCCCAGAACAGGUGCUGCAUGGCUGUCGUCAGCUCGUGUCGUGAGAUGUUGGGUUAAGUCCCGCAACGAGCGCAACCCUCGCCCUUAGUUGCCAGCAUUUAGUUGGGCACUCUAAGGGGACUGCCGGUGAUAAGCCGAGAGGAAGGUGGGGAUGACGUCAAGUCCUCAUGGCCCUUACGGGCUGGGCUACACACGUGCUACAAUGGUGGUGACAGUGGGCAGCGAGACAGCGAUGUCGAGCUAAUCUCCAAAAGCCAUCUCAGUUCGGAUUGCACUCUGCAACUCGAGUGCAUGAAGUUGGAAUCGCUA
rnacentral:rRNA from 1 species